CUCCCUCAUUUCUAUAAUUCUCUGUCGCAAAUGCAUGUUAUUUCUGCUGCUGUUAUCACAGCUAAAGGGUUUCUUGCCCAGCCUGAAUGAAUUGUGUCUGAAUCCUGAAACUAGGACCCAGGUCAUAGAGACCAGGAGCUGCCAGAAAAGGAAAUAUUAUUUCUUAUUAUCAUCAUAACCAGUGUCAUCAUCAUCAACACUCACUGAGCCUUCACCAGGUUCCAGGCUCUGUGCUAAAUGUUUAAUAGGCAACAUCUCAUUUAAUUAUUAAGAUAAACCUGUGAGGAUAAAUUUUAAGCCAUCGUAUCCCCUAUUUGCGGAAAAGAGACUGAGGUUUAGAGAAGUGAAGUAACUAGCUUGCAGACACACAGCUAGCCAGGGUAAAGCCAGGUUGAAGCACAGUCCUCUCUAACUCUUCACAUUAGUCUGAUACAUGAUGACAUUUUCUCAUCCGUUGUGGCCACUUUUAACACAACAUUUUAGUUUUUAGUAAUUUGUUAUUCUGAAAGAACACAUGAAUGUUUGUGAUGAAAAAAAUCAAAUAAUACAAAAGGGCCAAUAUUGAAAAGUAAAGGUCUCUUUCUACCUGCUCAUAUCACUUCUUACGCACAUAUUCUCCAGACAUAACCACUGUUAAUUGUUUCAUGUGUAUGCUUCUAGAAAUAAUCUACAAACCUAAAGGUAGAUAAUUUUUAGAAAGCUAGAAUAAUAUUACACAUAUAGUUAUGCCAGUUGCAUUUUUUAACUUAAAAUACAUCCUGACUUUUGUUUAAGAAAUGCAUCUUGGAUAUCAUUCAUGUUUCAUUACCCAAUCCAGUAGGUUGUCUCUAAUUUUUAGCUCUUGUAAAAAUGCUACAAUAGAAAUUCUUGUAGAAAUAUAUUGGCAUAUUUUAUGUCAGUAUCCCUAAAGGAGAUGGCCCUAGAAGUAGGACUUGAACUCCUGGGCUCAAGUAAUCCUCCUGCCUCAUACUCCCAAAUCGCUGGGAUUAUAGGUGUGAGCCACUACACCUGGCCCACUAGAAGCAGAUUUGUUGGGUCAAAGUUUAUGUGCACUUUAAAUUUUGUAGAUAUUGCCAAGUUGCCAUUCAAGGAAGUGUGUUAAAUUUGUAUUACCACCAAGGGCAUAUGUAGGUGCCUGUUUAUCUACAAGCUAAUCAGUAUGAUCAGUCUAUUUAAGCUUUGCCAACCUGAAAAAUAGAAAAAAGAAUAGUAUUGUAUGGUUGUCUUUGUGUUUAGUUAAUUAGUAAUGAAGAUGAGAAUCUCUGUAUAUAUUUAUUGUCUAUUUGAAGUUUUCAGUGAUUUAUACACUUUUUACAGUUUUCUAUUGGAUAUUUUUGUACACUGAAAACUAUUAGCAGGUCAAAGUAAUUAGCUUUAUCAUCUAUGUUUUAAUCUACUUUCCAAGAUUGAGAUAUGACUUUUUACAUUUGUUUAUGAUACCUUUUGUUUCUUACAAAUAUGUUAGAAGCAGAAACUGCUGUUGACUUUUUGUUCUCUUUCAGUUCCGGUGUCUCGCCCGGUCCUCACCCUCAGGGCUCCCGGGACCCAUGCUGCGGUGGGGGACCUGCUGGAGCUUCACUGUGAGGCCCUGAGAGGCUCUCCCCUGAUCCUGUACCGGUUUUUUCAUGAGGAUGUCACCCUAGGAAAUAGGUCGUCCCCCUCUGGAGGAGCGUCCUUAAACCUCUCUCUGACUGCAGAGCACUCUGGAAACUACUCCUGUGAGGCCGACAAUGGCCUCGGGGCCCAGCGCAGUGAGACAGUGACACUUUAUAUCACAGGGUCUCCCCCUCAGGGCUGACCGCGAACAGAAGUGGCCCUUUUGCCACAGGAGUCGCCGGGGGCCUGCUCAGCAUAGCAGGCCUUGCUGCGGGGGCACUGCUGCUCUACUGCUGGCUCUCGAGAAAAGCAGGGAGAAAGCCUGCCUCUGACCCCGCCAGGAGCCCUUCAGACUCGGACUCCCAAGAGCCCACCUAUCACAAUGUACCAGCCUGGGAAGAGCUGCAACCAGUGUACACUAAUGCAAAUCCUAGAGGAGAAAAUGUGGUUUACUCAGAAGUACGGAUCAUCCAAGAGAAAAAGAAACAUGCAGUGGCCUCUGACCCCAGGCAUCUCAGGAACAAGGGUUCCCCUAUCAUCUACUCUGAAGUUAAGGUGGCGUCAACCCCGGUUUCCGGAUCCCUGUUCUUGGCUUCCUCAGCUCCUCACAGAUGAGUCCACACGUCUCUCCAACUGCUGUUUCAGCCUCUGCACCCCAAAGUUCCCCUUGGGGGAGAAGCAGCAUUGAAGUGGGAAGAUUUAGGCUGCCCCAGACCAUAUCUACUGGCCUUUGUUUCACAUGUCCUCAUUCUCAGUCUGACCAGAAUGCAGGGCCCUGCUGGACUGUCACCUGUUUCCCAGUUAAAGCCCUGACUGGCAGGUUUUUUAAUCCAGUGGCAAGGUGCUCCCACUCCAGGGCCCAGCACAUCUCCUGGAUUCCUUAGUGGGCUUCAGCUGUGGUUGCUGUUCUGAGUACUGCUCUCAUCACACCCCCACAGAGGGGGUCUUACCACACAAAGGGAGAGUGGGCCUUCAGGAGAUGCCGGGCUGGCCUAACAGCUCAGGUGCUCCUAAACUCCGACACAGAGUUCCUGCUUUGGGUGGAUGCAUUUCUCAAUUGUCAUCAGCCUGGUGGGGCUACUGCAGUGUGCUGCCAAAUGGGACAGCACACAGCCUGUGCACAUGGGACAUGUGAUGGGUCUCCCCACGGGGGCUGCAUUUCACACUCCUCCACCUGUCUCAAACUCUAAGGUCGGCACUUGACACCAAGGUAACUUCUCUCCUGCUCAUGUGUCAGUGUCUACCUGCCCAAGUAAGUGGCUUUCAUACACCAAGUCCCAAGUUCUUCCCAUCCUAACAGAAGUAACCCAGCAAGUCAAGGCCAGGAGGACCAGGGGUGCAGACAGAACACAUACUGGAACACAGGAGGUGCUCAAUUACUAUUUGACUGACUGACUGAAUGAAUGAAUGAAUGAGGAAGAAAACUGUGGGUAAUCAAACUGGCAUAAAAUCCAGUGCACUCCCUAGGAAAUCCGGGAGGUAUUCUGGCUUCCCUAAGAAACAAUGGAAGAGAAGGAGCUUGGAUGAGGAAACUGUUCAGCAAGAGGAAGGGCUUCUCACACUUUCAUGUGCUUGUGGAUCACCUGAGGAUCCUGUGAAAAUACAGAUACUGAUUCAGUGGGUCUGCGUAGAGCCUGAGACUGCCAUUCUAACAUGUUCCCAGGGGAUGCUGAUGCUGCUGGCCCUGGGACUGCACUGCAUGCAUGUGAAGCCCUAUAGGUCUCAGCAGAGGCCCAUGGAGAGGGAAUGUGUGGCUCUGGCUGCCCAGGGCCCAACUCGGUUCACACGGAUCGUGCUGCUCCCUGGCCAGCCUUUGGCCACAGCACCACCAGCUGCUGUUGCUGAGAGAGCUUCUUCUCUGUGACAUGUUGGCUUUCAUCAGCCACCCUGGGAAGCGGAAAGUAGCUGCCACUAUCUUUGUUUCCCCACCUCAGGCCUCACACUUUCCCAUGAAAAGGGUGAAUGUAUAUAACCUGAGCCCUCUCCAUUCAGAGUUGUUCUCCCAUCUCUGAGCAAUGGGAUGUUCUGUUCCGCUUUUAUGAUAUCCAUCACAUCUUAUCUUGAUCUUUGCUCCCAGUGGAUUGUACAGUGAUGACUUUUAAGCCCCACGGCCCUGAAAUAAAAUCCUUCCAAGGGCAUUGGAAGCUCACUCCACCUGAACCAUGGCUUUUCAUGCUUCCAAGUGUCAGGGCCUUGCCCAGAUAGACAGGGCUGGCUCUGCUGCCCCAACCUUUCAAGGAGGAAACCAGACACCUGAGACAGGAGCCUGUAUGCAGCCCAGUGCAGCCUUGCAGAGGACAAGGCUGGAGGCAUUUGUCAUCACUACAGAUAUGCAACUAAAAUAGACGUGGAGCAAGAGAAAUGCAUUCCCACCGAGGCCGCUUUUUUAGGCCUAGUUGAAAGUCAAGAAGGACAGCAGCAAGCAUAGGCUCAGGAUUAAAGAAAAAAAUCUGCUCACAGUCUGUUCUGGAGGUCACAUCACCAACAAAGCUCACGCCCUAUGCAGUUCUGAGAAGGUGGAGGCACCAGGCUCAAAAGAGGAAAUUUAGAAUUUCUCAUUGGGAGAGUAAGGUACCCCCAUCCCAGAAUGAUAACUGCACAGUGGCAGAACAAACUCCACCCUAAUGUGGGUGGACCCCGUCCAGUCUGUUGAAGGCCUGAAUGUAACAAAAGGGCUUAUUCUUCCUCAAGUAAGGGGGAACUCCUGCUUUGGGCUGGGACAUAAGUUUUUCUGCUUUCAGACGCAAACUGAAAAAUGGCUCUUCUUGGGUCUUGAGCUUGCUGGCAUAUGGACUGAAAGAAACUAUGCUAUUGGAUCUCCUGGAUCUCCAGCUUGCUGACUGCAGAUCUUGAGAUAUGUCAGCCUCUACAGUCACAAGAGCUAAUUCAUUCUAAUAAACCAAUCUUUCUGU
rnacentral:lncRNA from 1 species